UACGUAGGGUGCAGGCGUUACUCGGAAUUACUGGGCGUAAAGCGUGCGUAGGCGGUUUGUUAAGUCCGUUGUGAAAGCCCUGGGCUCAACCUGGGAAUUGCAGUGGAUACUGGCGAGCUAGAGUGCGGUAGAGGAUGGUGGAAUUCCCGGUGUAGCGGUGAAAUGCGUAGAGAUCGGGAGGAACACCCGUGGCGAAGGCGGCCAUCUGGACCAGUACUGACGCUGAGGCACGAAAGCGUGGGGAGCAAACAGG
rnacentral:rRNA from 1 species